ACAGCGUCGGAGCGCAAAACGUGAACUGUUGUCGAGAGCGUUUUUUCCUGAAUGUUUUGGUUUGUGCCGCCGUGUGGAACUACUCUCAUCAUCAUGAUGAUAUUAAAUGAACGGAUUGCAAACUAGAGAAAAUUAGAACUAUACUAAGUAUUUUGCUGCCAGUUUCAUCAAGAAUUUUCAGAGGCACGGUGAUUUACUACAGGAAGCAGUGACCCAAUAUGACACAAGUCCUGGGUCUCAUAUAAUAGAGUGGCAAGCGGUAGCAACUGGUGUUUUUUUGGUCACAGUUAUAUAGAUGAAAAAAGACAGUUAGAUUGGUCAAGAUCUUCAAGCCCACUGCAGUGAUCAAAGGAUGACCCAAAGUGGUCUCUUUCUUCCCCCUCAGCAACUGACCUCCAGUGCUGUGGCAAACUGGUGUAGAAUGUUGUUAAUUGAUGUCACAACACGGAGUUAUUGGAUGUCUUAAGACAAAAAAUAUGGAGUCGAAAAAAGAUGACUAAACUGAAGAUGAAAGCUGCACCUGAAGAUGCCUGGGAAAAAUAUUGUUGCCACUGAAAAGAAAAAUCAAAUGCACGUGGAAAAAAUAACCAAUGGGUAGAAAGAAUUGUUGAUUAAGAAGAUAAAAUUUGAUUGAGAGUGGUUGUAUAGAUGGCAUUUGAAAAUAGUCUGUUACAUAUAUGACUUAUUUAAAGCAGUUUAGUCUCUUGAGUAUAAAGUAGAACCUUUUCGCAAACAAGAUCAAUAUGGUCGUUAAAAUUUAGUUUUGGAUCAAGUACUACUCCCAGGUGUUUAUGGCUUUUAGACCUAGGUAUCAUGGUAAUGUUAAUAUACAAUCCAGGGUAUGUAUUAGUAUUAUUUUCUUUGCCGAAUAUAAUUUUGCGGCACUUUGCCAGUUUAAAAUUCGGUUUCCAUUUAUUGGACCAAUUUUCGAUGGUACGUAGGUCACCUUGUAAUAUAGCGUGUGAAUUGACAUCACCUCGACGCAAGGGCAUAAAGAGGGAAGUAUCAUCCGCAUAGAUGAAACAAUCAGUAGAGUCCGUCAGGGAGGUCAUUAAUAUAUAUGAGAAAAAGUAAUGUGCCAAGUAUGCUACCUUGGGGUACACUUGUAUCUAUGUAACCACCCUCAGAUAAAUUAGACGAUUUCCCACCAAACGCACUUAAACUCUUCUAUUUGUCAAGUACGAUGACAAUAGUGCAUGAAGUUCGCCGAUUAGACCGUAAGACUUUUAUGUUUAAAAGUUUAAAAAGGAGUGAAUGAGGAACUCUGUUGAAUGCAGCCUCUAUUUCGAGAAAGACUCCUCUGGUGUCAUAACCAUUAAUAGAGUUACUCGUAAUUACUCGUUGUGUUGGUUGAAUGCUUUAUUCAAUGUCGAUCCACCAGGAAUAGAAAGUGCAUUUUUUCAUAAAUGUGGGAAUGGUUAAGCAAUAUUAAUUAUGGCUUGAGUGAUUUUGUUGCAUGGUGGGUUGCAUCGCUGGAUGUUUCUUUCUCAAUUUUGGGGUUUGCCUCACAUUGCUAUAUUGGAGUGUUAGUCUUUCCCCUCAGCCAACUCGGCAAAAGUGCUGGAAUGCUGGGCAUAGAAAGUUGUAAACUGUCACAGCAUUUUUUUCCUUGGUCAACUUCCUAUAGAAAUAAAUGAUGGAAAAGACUGAAAAUUGACUGUUUGCUUUCUUAGGGAACAAGUGAUAAAACAUAGUCCAUUGUUAAUUAACAAAAUGGUGUGUCACAGUAUGUUGGCAGUUGCAGUGACAAAGCAAUUUCUAUGGUAAUAUAGUAAAACAUUGGAAGAUUUGAUGGUAUCUAGGAUUAGCUUAUGAUUAUUAGUAUUACAGUAACUGUAUAUUUGAGCUGUACUUCAAUCUACCCUAGGUUCUAGAUUCUAGUUUUCCCAGCUUCAUAUUUUCAUCGUUUCAUAUUUAUACAUAACCCAUAUCAGCAAAACUGUUGAAGCCCGUGAACAGCUUUGAACAGUCA
rnacentral:lncRNA from 1 species